rnacentral:ncRNA from 1 species
AUUAUUACUAUCAUUAUUAUUAUUAUUACUAUUGUUACUAUUCUUAUUAUUAUUAUUAUUAUUAUUAUUAUUAUUAUUAUUGUUUCUCAACGACUCAAUAAACGCCCAUUGGUACGCGUCACUAAUUAGGCUGACAGCAGCAGGCACUUUCCUCGUAGAGCGCCCUGCAAAUUCCGAAAUUAGCCAAAUGCCUCGUCAUCUAAUUAGUGACGCGUAUGAAUGGAUCAACAAGAUUCCUUCUGUCCCUAUCUACUAUCUAGCGAAACCACAGCCAAG